rnacentral:rRNA from 1 species
GACGAACCGUCCAAACGUUGUUCGGAAUCACUGGGCUUAAAGGGUGCGUAGGUGGGAAUGUAAGUCAGUGGUGAAAUCUCCGUGCUUAACAUGGAAACUGCCAUUGAUACUAUGUUUCUUGAAUUUUCUGGAGGUAAGCGGAAUAUGUCAUGUAGCGGUGAAAUGCUUAGAUAUGACAUAGAACACCAAUUGCGAAGGCAGCUUGCUACAGGGAUAUUGACACUGAGGCACGAAAGCGUGGGGAUCAAACAGG